GUGGAUAUAGCUCAGAGGUAGAGUGUGUGCUUAGCAUGUACAGGGUCCUGGGUUCAAUCCCCAGGACCUUCA
rnacentral:tRNA from 1 species